rnacentral:rRNA from 1 species
CGAAAGCCUGACGCAGCGACGCCGCGUGAGGGAUGAAGGUCUUCGGAUCGUAAACCUCUGUCAGCAGGGAANAACGGUCACUGUGCUAAUCAGCAGUGAAUUGACGGUACCUGCAAAGGAAGCACCGGCUAACUCCGUGCC